rnacentral:lncRNA from 1 species
UUUGAGGGCCUUGUCUGAGUCACCCUGGUGCCCAAGAGCCUGGCACGGGACUAGUCACUUUACCCAUGUCUGUGGCAUGCUUUUCCUACUUCCUCUGUUCAUUCCUUAAAUAUUUCUUAGGCACCUACUAUGUGCAUGGCUCUGGGCUAAGCCUUGGGAUUCAGCAGAGGAUGAGACAUUCAGGAUUCCUAAUGGGGAGGGGCACGUGGCACGGGAGGAGGGCUGCGGUAGAAAUCAAAUAUGCAAGCCAGGCAUUCGGGGCCUGAGUGUUGGCCAGAGAGCUAAGACUUACUCCAGCUCCGACUGACUCCUUGACCUUGUGCUUCUUGCCCUCACUAGACCUGACUUUCCAAUCGACCCCAGAGAUUCCUGGUUAGUGUGAGGACAGAGGCUCAGCGACCGACGGCCGAGAUGGAACCCCAGUCAAGGCUGGCAAAAGGUGCUGGCGUGCCAGGUGCUUGUAGAGGCUGGACUUAAACGCGU